GUAGGUGAACCUGCGGAAGGAUCAUUACCUUUCAGUACAGAAGCGUUGUGUUGGUUGAGUUGUGCCGGUUGAGUCUCGCUGACAAGUGGGAUUCCUGGUGGCAACUCCCUUCAUAAUUCUCCCUGUCUAUCAUCCUUGUCUUUUGCGUACUAUUGUUUCCUCGGUGGGCUUGCCCACCGGUUGGACAACCUUAUAACCUAUUUAAUUUUCAAUCAGCGUCUGAAAUAAUAUAAUAAUUACAACUUUCAACAACGGAUCUCUUGGUUCUG
rnacentral:misc_RNA from 1 species